rnacentral:rRNA from 1 species
GACGUAGGGGGCCAGCGUUGUUCGGAAUUACUGGGUGUAAAGGGUUCGUAGGCGGUGUGGCAAGUCGGGAGUGAAAUUUCUGGGCUUAACUCAGAGACUGCUUCCGAAUCUGCUGUGCUUGAGUGUGGGAGAGGCGCGUGGAAUUGCAGGUGUAGCGGUGAAAUGCGUAGAUAUCUGCAGGAACACCCGUGGCGAAAGCGGCGCGCUGGACCACUACUGACGCUGAGGAACGAAAGCUAGGGGAGCAAACAGG